rnacentral:rRNA from 1 species
CCUACGGGUGGCAGCAGUAGGGAAUAUUGGUCAAUGGGCGCAAGCCUGAACCAGCUAUGCCGCGUGCAGGAUGAAGGCCCUCAGGGUCGUAAACUGCUUUUAUAUGGGAAUAAAACAGCCCUUGCGAGGGCUCUUGAAGGUACCAUAAGAAUAAGCACCGGCUAACUCCGUGCCAGCAGCCGCGGUAAUACGGAGGGUGCAAGCGUUAUCCGGAUUUACUGGGUUUAAAGAGUGCGUAGGCGGUUUUUUAAGUUAGUGGUGAAAGUUUAGUGCUUAACAUUAAAAGUGCCACUAAUACUGGGAAACUUGAGUCAAGAAGAGGUAAGCAGAAUUUGUAGUGUAGCAGUGAAAUGCUUAGAUACUAUAAAGAAUAUCAACAGCGAAGGCAGCUUACUGGUCUUGUACUGACGCUGAGGCACGAAAGCGUGGGGAGCAAACAGGAUUAGAUACCCCAGUAGUC